AUGCUGUAUGAAAGGAGACAAGGUUAGCCCUUGACAAGGAUGGAAGGAGCCCUUGGGCCUGACAACACACAUAAGGUUAGGGCAUUGCCACCUACUUCGUGGCAUCUAACCAUGAUUUUUG
ensembl:snRNA